rnacentral:rRNA from 1 species
AGUGAACGCUGGCGGUAGGCCUAACACAUACAAGUCGAACGGCAGCACAGUAAGAGCUUGCUCUUACGGGUGGCGAGUGGCGGACGGGUGAGGAAUACAUCGGAAUCUACUUUUUCGUGGGGGAUAACGUAGGGAAACUUACGCUAAUACCGCAUACGACCUACGGGUGAAAGCAGGGGAUCUUCGGACCUUGCGCGAUUGAAUGAGCCGAUGUCGGAUUAGCUAGUUGGCGGGGUAAAGGCCCACCAAGGCUACGAUCCGUAGCUGGUCUGAGAGGAUGAUCAGCCACACUGUAACUGAGACACGGUCCAGACUCCUACGGGAGGCAGCAGUGGGGAAUAUUGGACAAUGGGCGCAAGCCUGAUCCAGCCAUACCGCGUGGGUGAAGAAGGCCUUCGGGUUGUAAAGCCCUUUUGUUGGGAAAGAAAAGCAGCAGGUUAAUACCCCGCUGUUCUGACGGUACCCAAAGAAUAAGCACCGGCUAACUUCGUG